CAAUAGCGUAUAUUAAAGUUGUUGCAGUUAAAAAGCUCGUAGUUGGAUUUGUGGCGUACGGUGUGUUCCGGGCACUUGUUGUCUGAGUAACCUGCUGUUGCCAUCCUUGGGUGGAACCUGUGUGGCAUUAGGUUGUCGUGCAGGGGAUGCCCAUCCUUUACUGUGAAAAAAUUAGAGUGUUCAAAGCAGGCUUAUGCCGUUGAAUAUAUUAGCAUGGAAUAAUGAGAUAGGACUUUUUUGCUAUUUUGUUGGUUUGCGCAAGAAGGUAAUGAUUAAUAGGGACAGUUGGGGGUAUUCGUAUUCCAUUGUCAGAGGUGAAAUUCUUGGAUUUUUGGAAGACGAACUACUGCGAAAGCAUUUACCAAGGAUGUUUUCAUUAA
rnacentral:rRNA from 1 species